rnacentral:miRNA from 1 species
GACGUCGAUAUUCGACGUCAUAAACACGAACAACUUUGGUGUUUAUGACGUCGAUAUUCGACGUCAUAAACACGAUCAACUUUGGUGUUUAUGACGUCGGUAUUCGACGUCAUAAACACGAUCAAAUUAGGUUUUAUGACGUCGAUAUUCGACAUCAUAAACACAAUCAACUUAGGUGUUUAUGACGUCGAUAUUCGUCGUCAUGAACACGAUUAACUUUGGUGUUUAUGACGUCGAUAUUCGACGUC